rnacentral:rRNA from 1 species
UAGGGAAUCUUCGGCAAUGGGGGCAACCCUGACCGAGCAACGCCGCGUGAGUGAAGAAGGUUUUCGGAUCGUAAAGCUCUGUUGUAAGUCAAGAACGAGUGUGAGAGUGGAAAGUUCACACUGUGACGGUAGCUUACCAGAAAGGGACGGCUAACUACGUGCCAGCAGCCGCGGUAAUACGUAGGUCCCGAGCGUUGUCCGGAUUUAUUGGGCGUAAAGCGAGCGCAGGCGGUUUGAUAAGUCUGAAGUUAAAGGCUGUGGCUCAACCAUAGUUCGCUUUGGAAACUGUCAAACUUGAGUGCAGAAGGGGAGAGUGGAGUUCCAUGUGUAGCGGUGAAAUGCGUAGAUAUAUGGAGGAACACCGGUGGCGAAAGCGGCUCUCUGGUCUGUAACUGACGCUGAGGCUCGAAAGCGUGGGGAGCGAACAGGAUUAGAUACCCUGGUAGUCCACGCCGUAAACGAUGAGUGCUAGGUGUUGGAUCCUUUCCGGGAUUCAGUGCCGUAGCUAACGCAUUAAGCACUCCGCCUGGGGAGUACGACCGCAAGGUUG